GAAACAUAAAAUCAUGGAGUCAAGGGCCUUGAUCACACAAAGCGUUGAAGGAGGUUGAGUCAUAUGCAAGGGUUUUUACAUGGCAUGUUUGUAUUGGUGAAAUCUUCAUCUUGGUUGUCUUUAUUAUGGAGCAUAGGGGAAACCCUAAUUCAUUGGUGUUGGAUUGCAAGCAUCAUCAAUAUCUUUCAAUCCCUAAAACCCUAAUUUCAUAUGAUUCAC
rnacentral:lncRNA from 1 species